CGUACUUCGAUGAAAUAUUGUAAAAACUAGCAUCGCUGCAGUCGAACAAAAACAAAUCUUGAACGUUACCAUAGAUACUGUUUAGUAUUGAGAAAAUUGGGAAAAUAUAACUUUUUGUCUGCUGAAAACUUAUUAAAGUCUCACAUGAAAACUCCGAUUUUGCAUCGAGGUAGACUAAAAAUAAAACGAGUAUUUUCCGCCCAUGGGGGAGAUCCCAAGGUCAUUGUCCCAAGUAUCACAUCGAAUAUUAUCGUGUCGGGGUAUAUUUCUAGCACCAAUUGCCAAACUGAGCUGUGAACCGUUUUUAAGAUUCACUUUUGACGGAAUCUACUGGAGGUUUCUCAAGCUCAUCAUCAGGACUUUCAUGCUUUUCCCAACUUGUAGUGCAACGCGUUUGAGAUGCAGUUGAAUAUUGUCUUCGGUCGGUUUUGGAUGGACUAACCGUUCAAGAGCGACGAAAUAAAAUAACGCGUAGGUUGAUACUGCUAUCAGUAGCACGGUGCACCGGUGCGGUAGGUUGAAUCAUUAUGUUGGCUCAUGACAACGCUAGAACUGGUGUUUUGUCCCAUCGCUGCGCGCAUAAUCUAUUAUCACUGCAAUCAAAAAUUGGAAAUUUCAACCACCGUAAAUCGUUGUUUCUCCUGUUCAGUGCUUAUUCAGCACGCUGGAAGUAGUGAGCACUAUAGCGCAUCAUUGUACGAAUGAUGCGCACUGCUUCCGACUUGAUUCAUUUGUUUAGAACAAGAGAAAAUUCGAUUGUCGCUGCAUCCAGAAUAACUAUCCAACUACAUCUAGAAUAACUUUUGUAUCGCAGCAUAUUUUGCAUGUCAUCUUGAAUCCGCCGCCGUUGUUGAAAUGAUAACGAUCCGCCCAAAACUACGCGGAUAUCUGUGUGCAUAGGUAGCACUUCAAAGGUAGCGGCGAACUUUAACCUGAUGACGCAUUGUUUAAUGUCAAAAAUCGGAUUCUAGUAAGAGCAAUAUGGUCCACAUUCUAGAAUUGUAUAGAAAUUGUUCCAUCCGCGAUUAUCGGAACCGCCCGUCAUGACAAAGAAGUGCUGCUAACGUUCCUAUCAGGCGACAAUCGAUACCCCCGAAAAUGCGCUACAGAUUGCCAACCGUCCGGACAUUACCAUUAAUUACAUUUUAGCUGACCAGCACAACUUUGAAAUAGUUUCCUGUUGAGAAGGAGUUAUCAGCCGAUACUGCUAAUGCAUCACUGUUCAUCAGCAUCUGCAGUGGGCGUUAAAAAUAUCGUUCUUCACCGUGUCGUAUUUUGGGUGAUCUGAUGCAACUCUCGACUGCAGCAAAACUAUCCAGCUGUCGGAAGUAAAACAGCGUCUAUCUCCAGUUCUGAUGAAGAUUUCCUCCGAAGGUUAGCGAAUAUAUAAAAGACAUUCAACUUACCGGAAAUGCAAAGCCUAGCUCUAUUAAUGCUUACAUGAAGUAUCGAUGCAAUUCAAUGAAGCAUUGGUAAUUUUAUGUCUAAUGGUCGGGAUCGUAGCGGUAUUCUCUGGUUCAAUAUUAUCACCAAGAUUUAAGAUUGCAUCUAUAACGAUAAAACUACCUACAUGGUAUUCUGAGCUGCUAAUCAAGAAGCUCUUGCUGGUAGAUUUAAUCGAUGACAUAUUGUGAGACGAGAUGCCGUCACUGAAAAAUCCGGUGCUAACUUCAUUGAAAUAUAUUAUUUCCUAUGGUAGUACCCACCUUGUUCCUAUACUGCUGGAAACAAUCUACCGCAAAAAUAACCCUGGAAACAUUUGCGUGAACUUGCAAGCGAUUCUAAUUAUCGACCAACGUACCGGCAUUCCGGAGUCUCUUGCAAAAGUACAAGGAUGAAAUGUACAGCGACAAAGAAGCCCCUCAGCAGUGUGCAAAAUGACAUUCAUUGCUAUUCAGUCUGGAUGGAAGUUUGGCUCAAUUGCAGCAACCACCCCUCUGUUCCCGAAAUAUAGGAACCGGACGGACAGAGUGAACACCUAUCAAAUGACCAACUGAACCAGCCAGGAAGCAGAAUAGUCGGAGAAAAUCUAAGUGAAUGGUAAGAUAGACAAAACGAUUGCAAAUUAAUCAGUCAUUGGCGUAGUAGAUGUCACGGUUAGCAUCGAUAGCGCAUAUGUAUUGUAUUAAUAUUAAAUAUAUCUUUUUUUAAAAUAAUUUAAUACAUAUAUUAGCUAUUAAAUAAUUUUAAAAUUGUUACACAUUAUUUACAUUGUAAAAUUCUAAUCGCGAAUAAAAACUUAAAAUUUAUUAA